AGUGAACGCUGGCGGUAGGCCUAACACAUGCAAGUCGAACGGCAGCACAGUAAGAGCUUGCUCUUACGGGUGGCGAGUGGCGGACGGGUGAGGAAUACAUCGGAAUCUACUUUUUCGUGGGGGAUAACGUAGGGAAACUUACGCUAAUACCGCAUACGACCUACGGGUGAAAGCAGGGGAUCUUCGGACCUUGCGCGAUUGAAUGAGCCGAUGUCGGCUUAGCUAGUUGGCGGGGUAAAGGCCCACCAAGGCGACGAUCCGUAGCUGGUCUGAGAGGAUGAACGGGCCAAAUGGGAAGGGGAAAAGGGCCAAAAUCCUAAGGGAGGCAGGAGUGGGGAAAAUUGGGAAAAGGGGGAAAGGCUGAAGGAGCAAAGCCGCGGGGGGGAAGAAGGGCUUCGGGGUGGAAAGCCCUGUUGGUAGGGAAGAAAAAGUAACGGGGUAACACCCGGUGGUGUGAAGGGACCUAAAGAGAAAGCCACGGCUAAAUUCGGG
rnacentral:rRNA from 1 species